GGACGCUGCUUUUCGGUUCUGCUGAAGUGGGUGGAGUGGGUCGGGUCGGGUCGGGUCGGGUGGGGUCCUCGUCAUCUGCCUGAAUUCGGUAGGUCGCGCCGGUGCAGAAGUCGCGGAGGAUCGCCCGGCCUGAGCAGCUAGGGACCCCAAAGUGCAGCGUCCCUCACAGCUGCGUCCUCCCCUCCCUCACGUCGCUAACUCUUCUUGCUCCCGGGCCUGACGGAACAGCUUCUGAUGUGCCUGGCACUUGUGUACUGGAUAGGAGACAAAUUCUCCCACCUUGAGAAACGGGUGUCUCAAGUCUGUGCCAGCAGUAUUUUGAAUGUGCAAAGGCUAGAUGCUAAAUCGCUGUGAAGCUUGCUGCAGAAGUGAAAGUGAGAGACUCAAAGCCCGACCCCGGAGGGUUAAUAGGUGUGGCACAGAGUUUCCAGUGACUGCGUGUAAGCUCCUGCCUCCAGGUCCUUGCCCUCGUUGAGUUUCUGUCCCGACUUCCUACAAUGGACUAGGAAUGUGAAAGUGUGAUGGACUACAAUGUGAAAGUGUAAGCCAAAUAAAUCCUUUCC